AAGUGAUGCAGUAAAUCAUAGCCUUUCCUUCAGCAGUGACGGCAGUGUGCUCGCUUUACAUCAUCUACUCCGGAACAAUCAGGAGAAAAUUGGCCAGUGUCUUUCUAGCAACAGGGAUCAUAAAGCUGUUGGAAGAUGACCUUUUGAUAAAUGGCAACACUUCUUGUAUACCUCGGUCCUCCAGAGCACAAACCUGUGGCAGAUACAUACCGGUCCAGCCUUAACCUUACCAGUUAAAAGUUUGAGGAAUUUAUGAUGAGGCCAGGCAUGGUGGUCAUACCUGUAAUCCCAACAUUUUGAGAGGCCAGAGUUGGAGAAUCACUUGAGACCAGGAGUUCAAGACCAGCCUGGGCAACAUGGCAUCAGGUAUGUGAAAAAGAAGAGAUCAAGGCUUUGAAAACAUUAAGUAUUUUUUUACCAAGCUGGGAAUUCCAGAGCUGGGAAGCCAAUUUUUUAUGUUGCAAGGAGGCUGGAGUGCAAUGGCACGAUCUUGGCUCACUGCAACCUCCACCUCCUGGGUUCCAGCAAUUCUCCUGCCUCAGCCUCCUGAGCCCUCCCCUGCCAAAUCCUUCCCAGCUUCUGGUAAUCAUCAGUUUAUUCUCUGUCUUCAUAAGAUCCACUUUUUCAGCUCUCACAUAUGACUAACAACAUGUAAU